rnacentral:rRNA from 1 species
UGGGGAAUAUUGGACAAUGGGCGAAAGCCUGAUCCAGCAAUGCCGCGUGAGUGAUGAAGGCCUUAGGGUUGUAAAGCUCUUUUACCCGGGAUGAUAAUGACAGUACCGGGAGAAUAAGCUCCGGCUAACUCCGUGCCAGCAGCCGCGGUAAUACGGAGGGAGCUAGCGUUGUUCGGAAUUACUGGGCGUAAAGCGCGCGUAGGCGGCUCAGCAAGUCAGGGGUGAAAUCCCGGGGCUCAACCCCGGAACUGCCCUUGAAACUGCUAGGCUAGAAUCCUGGAGAGGCGAGUGGAAUUCCGAGUGUAGAGGUGAAAUUCGUAGAUAUUCGGAAGAACACCAGUGGCGAAGGCGACUCGCUGGACAGGUAUUGACGCUGAGGUGCGAAAGCGUGGGGAGCAAACA